UACACCAUUUUUGGCGCUAAAACUUGUGUCCUCUCCAACCAUAACACCAAAAAUCACACUAAAAGAAUAAUCUAUUAU
rnacentral:sRNA from 1 species